CAGGGGGAAAACCAUUUAAAUGUAUGGAGUGCGGAAUGGUCUUCAGUCAGAAUGGAAGUCUGAAAUUACACCAACAGACUCACACAGGGUGAGAAACCAAAUAAAAGUACUGAGGGUGAUAAGAGUUUUAGUAAUAGGCGAUGCCUUUUGGAUCCAUUAACGGAUCUUGAGUCAGUAAAGCAUGAGACUCUUAAUCUCUGGGUUGUGGUUCAAGCCCCAUGUUGGGCAAAAGAUUCCUGCAUUGGAGAGGGUUGGACUAGAUGACCCUGGUGGUUCCCUUCCAGCUCUGUGAAUGGUUCUGUUAUUCUGUUGUAUCUGAAGGGCUGUUCACAGGGAAGAUGGAGCAAACUGGUUUUGUCAGAGAUGCUUGUGCUGUGAUUGCUGCACUGGAGGGGGUUGAUCUAGAGGACCCUCGGAGGUCCCUUCCAACCAUCCAGUUCUGUGAUCCGAUGAUUAAAAUACUCAUAGGAUGGUAUGUGCCCUGCCAAACCACCCUGUAGCCCAAGCCCCAUUCACCAGGCGAGACCCGGUGAGUCGAAGGAGGGCUCCGCUGUGGCAGCGGGACUGCCCAGGAGAACUUGGCUGGGGAUCGUGUCCCUGGUUGGAGCUGCUGCUCCUGCACCCACCACCCGCACCCCUCCCAAGACAGGCCCUGGGAUUGGGGAGGGGGGCAGAGUGGGGAGGGAAGAGUUGGCUGCCUGCCAGGGGUCCAUUGGGGCGCCGAGCCUGGAUUCUGCAAAAGCUCGCCAGCAGAGGUCCGCGUUGCAUUUCCAGGGUUGCAAAGGCGAUCGGGGCAGGUGGGGGAUGGUGCUUGGAUCCUGACCCGAGCUGCUGGAAGGGGGGAGUUGGUGGAGAGAAAGAGCUGGAACUGAGUUGCUGCGCAUGAGGAGGAGCCUGCAGAGGAAGGAGGGAAAGAGGGACGAGGAGAGAGGGGCGCGUCUUGGCCAGGAGCAAGCUGAGGGGGCCGGCUGGGCAUCUGGACAGAUGGCCCCAACCUUAUGGCCAGAUCGCCACCGCGGAGCCAGUGGGUAGAGCGCCAGCCUGCAGGAAGGCAUCUGGAGCCUUCCAGCGCGUCAGCUCCACCAACGAAACACAGCACCGGGAUGAGGGAUGACCCCAGCACUGCAGAGCGGAUCAGGGUUCUAGCACCUCUGACAGACGCUGGAGGCGCACAGGCACCAAGCCCCCUCUCUGCUUCGCUUACCUCCCCAGACUCUCUCUGGCGCCCUCCAGAGCUUGGUGCCCGGGUGCUGGGCCCCCUUCGCACCCCCGGGAGAGACGGCUCUGCCCAGAGGAGAAGGGUAUUCCAAGAUCAUGCUGUGUUAUUAACGAUUGAGGGUUAUGAAAGCUUGCUGAUGCAUUACAUCAUUCCAUUUUCAUUUCUUAAAACGAGCGGAAGAUGGGUAGGAUGUGGAAGAAUGUAGGAGAUGUUGAAAUGAGAGAAGGGGAUAAUGGCGCUUGUUGUGUUUUCUUUUCCUUUGUUCUCUUCCCUGAACCCCAAUUAGGAUUUCCUUUCUGUCCCCUCUGAAGAGAAGAGAAGAAAGUCAUAAUUCUGGGAAACGGAGCACCUUUCGUUUCAUUAGGAAUAGCCAGUAAAAUGUGUGACAUCUAGAGUAUGCUUCACUGAAUGAGCACACAUAGCUCACAUCAACAAGCUCAAACGGGAGAACAUAUGAAAGU
rnacentral:lncRNA from 1 species